GAAUCGCAUGGCCUUGUGCCGGCGAUGGUUCAUUCAAAUUUCUUCCCUAUCAACUUUCGAUGUUUGGGUAUUGGCCGAACAUGGUUGCAACGGGUAACGGAGGGUUAGGGCUCGACCCCGGAGAAGGAGCCUGAGAAACGGCUACUACAUCCAAGGAAGGCAGCAGGCGCGCAAAUUACCCAAUCCCGACACGGGGAGGUAGUGACAAUAAAUACUGAUACAGGGCUCUUUUGGGUCUUGUAAUUGGAAUGAGUACGAUUUAAAUCCCUUAACGAGGAACAAUUGGAGGGCAAGUCUGGUGCCAGCAGCCGCGGUAAUUCCAGCUCCAAUAGCGUAUAUUAAAGUUGUUGUGGUUAAAAAGCUCGUAGUUGAACCUUGGGCCUGGCCGUCCGGUCCGCCUCACCGCGUGUACUGGCUCGGCCGGGCCUUUCCCUCUGUGGAACCCCAUGCCCUUCACUGGGCGUGGCGGGGAAACAGGACUUUUACUGUGAAAAAAUUAGAGUGCUCCAGGCAGGCCUAUGCUCGAAUACAUUGCAUGGAAUAAUAGAAUAGGACGUGUGGUUCUAUUUUGUUGGUUUCUAGGACCGCCGUAAUGAUUAAUAGGGACAGUCGGGGGCAUCAGUAUUCAAUUGUCAGAGGUGAAAUCCUUGGAUUUAUUGAAGACUAACUACUGCGAAAGCAUU
rnacentral:rRNA from 1 species